UACGGAAGGUUCAGGCGUUAUCCGGAUUUAUUGGGUUUAAAGGGAGCGCAGGCGGACCUUUAAGUCGGCUGUGAAAUACGGCGGCUCAACCGUCGAACUGCAGUUGAUACUGGAGGUCUUGAGUGCACACAGGGAUACUGGAAUUCAUGGUGUAGCGGUGAAAUGCUCAGAUAUCAUGAAGAACUCCGAUCGCGAAGGCAGGUAUCCGGGGUGCAACUGACGCUGAGGCUCGAAAGUGCGGGUAUCAAACAGG
rnacentral:rRNA from 1 species